CUUAGGACUUGACAGGUCACCCACAGUAAAGCUAUCAUGUCAUGAGGACACUCAAGCAGCUCUGGGAGAGACCCCCUGUGGCUAGAAGCUGUGGAUUCUCACCAACAGCCAUGCAAGAUUCCCCAGCCCCAGUCGAGCCUUCAGAUGACCACAGCCCCAGCUGAUAUCUUGACUGCAAUAUCAUGAAAAACCAUGUGUCAGAACUGCUCAGACAUGUUGCUCCCAAAUUCUGGACCUGCAGAAACCAUGAAAGACAAUAAAUGAUUAUUGCUGUUUUAGGUCACUAUGUUUUGAGCUAACUUCUUACACAGCAAUAGAUACUAAUGCAUAUUUUAACCAGUUUCCUACAUUAAAACCUUUCUGUUG
rnacentral:lncRNA from 1 species